UACGUAGGGCGCGAGCGUUGUCCGGAAUUAUUGGGCGUAAAGAGCUCGUAGGCGGCUUGUCACGUCGGGGUGUGAAAGACCGGGGCUUAACUCCGGUUCUGCAUUCGAUACGGGCUAGCUAGAGUGUGGUAGGGGAGAUCGGAAUUCCUGGUGUAGCGGUGAAAUGCGCAGAUAUCAGGAGGAACACCGGUGGCGAAGGCGGAUCUCUGGGCCAUUACUGACGCUGGAGGAGCGAAAGCGUGGGGAGCGAUCCGG
rnacentral:rRNA from 1 species